GGGCCUCGGCGGCUGGUUGCGCGUGUCCGACGCUGGCUCCGCUCUAUCCGGCUUUGCUAGGGGAUUUUGAGAGAUGGAGGAAGUUGACCGCAUGAGAGUGGUUUGAGGAUCGCUGUGCCUAGACCGUUUUUGACAUUGGCAACUUAACAUAUCAGAGAUGGAAUUAAUGGCACAUAUUGCCACCUUGGUAAAAGUGAGUCUGGGAAAAGACUUUUUUAUAAAAUUAGCAUUUUGGUUUGUGACUUGCCUGAUUAAUUAAAAGAUCAAAAAUCCUGGGAUUCACUUGCUCUGUUGCCUUUGUGUACUCCAUCUUUAUUCUCUGGAGCUUUGCGACAAAUAGGAGGUUAGCAGAAAAGAAUUGUGACAAAAUGAGAAAGGCUUAGAAGUGCAUUUGGAAGCUAAGAAUAAUUAAACUGAACGAAAUGAGACAAGAGUGUUGAUUUACCUGUUGAAAAACUGCAAGCCUUGACAAAAGGUAAAAUAAUGUUUUAUGGAACAAGUGAUCCUCCUGCCUCUUUUCCCAAAGUGUUGGGAUUAUAUAGGCUUGAGCCACUGCACCUGGUAGUUAGCAGACUAUUUAUUGAAGGCCUGUAUACUAGGCUUUGAGUCCUGAGGGUAGACUGGGAACAAAAUUAAUAUCAUAUGAAGCAGGUAAGACAGACAUUUAACACAUUAUUUUUUAAAAAAAGUUUUUCAGGGAUGGGGUCUCAUUAUGUUGCCUAGGCUGUCCUUGAACUCCUAGGCUCAAGCAGUCCUCUUGACUCAGCCUCCCAAGUAGCUGGGACUACAGGUAUAUGCCACUGGGCCUGGCUUAAACAAAUCAUUUUAAAUGUGCAGUCUUUUAAGAUAGUCUACCUAGAUUCACAUUCUGCUGUUUUUUAUUGGCCAUGUGCCUUUCGGCAAAUUGCUUUACUGCUUUGUGUCUCAGCUUUCUCUUCUAUAACAUAGGGGUUAUAAUGGUACCUAUCUUAGGUUCUUAUGAAAAUUAAAUGUGAUAAUGUGUAUAAAAUGCUACAGUGGCUUGCCUGUAGUCAACACUCAAUAAAUAUUAGCUGUUUUAAUUGUUAUCUCUUAGCACUUUCCAUCUUUGUUUUAUGGAGAAAAACAGUGAUUAAUUAGAAAAUCCUAAUUUAACCUAGUCCAAAUUAUAAGGUCAAGGAAGCUUCCUUGACAUAAUUCCUACCCGGGAGAAACUUAUACUUGAAUAUUUAUAAACAAAUUGCAAUAAAGAUAUAUAAAUACAGAUAAGUACAGAAUGGUUACUGUGGGAAGAUAUAGAUGGGAUACCAAGGGCCUCAGUUUGUACAAUUCUGAUGUGACAAUGUUUACAUUAUGUUAUGAAUGGUACCCCCCUGCAGUUGGCAGUGUAGUUUUUUUCUAGGCAGUGUAGGCCUGAUUAGGGGAGUGAUAUUUGAGUUAAAUUUUGAUGAUGACAGGGGAUGAGGGAGAAGGGCAGCUCAAGCAGAGGGAAUUUCAUGUACAAAGUCAGUGAAUAAGAGAUGGCAGUGUUUGGGGACCUGGAAUUGGUUCAUUAUGGUUAGAAUGUAGGAUGAAUGUGAUCGCUAAGAGAUGAGAACAAGAGGUUGGAUUAUGAAGGACCCUUUUUGCUUUAUUAAUACCUUGAGAUUUUAUCUGAAUCUGGGAAGCUAUUGAAUGACUUAAAUGAUUAAAAUGAUCAGAUUUAUUUUUAGAAGGUGGCUCAGGCAAUACUAAGAAGAAUGGUUUGGAGUAGGAACAGGUCUAGAAGCUGGGAGAAGGUAGUUGUAGUAGUCUAGGUGAAUGUUCCUCCUAGUGUGGACCCAAACUUUAUUACAAAUUGGCAGUGAUAAAUAAAAACAUUUCUCCUUAUCCCAUAACUUGCUUGAGGCUCAUUACUAGAUAUUUAGAAACUUUCAUGGCA
rnacentral:lncRNA from 10 species